AUAAUGCAGACCCCUGUGCACUUAAUUACAGAAGAAUUUUAACUCGAGCAAUGACAGGUCCGUUUGGUUGGACUCGGAACGGCUGGAUGGGCACGUAAUCUCAGCCGUUCGUUGCCACCGAGUGGCAGCGGAUCGAAUGAGCUCGCUGUUGCUGUCCUUUCACAGUGCACUUCGGAUACGACCUGUUCCCGACGUACAAUACUCUCUUCGCCAGCACACCGCAUGAGCAUACGAUUAAUCCCAUCUAAUGUCCUUUUUCUCCGCCCUCAAAGUUCCAUACGUAACCAUCCCAAAUAAUAUAUUUUCUAUUUUCGAAUUUUCCCUUCCUCGGCGACAGCCAGGUAAUCCCGCUCUCCAGGCUCCGGAAGAAGAUAAAGAAGAUAGCGGAGGGGCAGUGGUGUUUGAUUUCAGUGGCAAACAACGUCCAAUCUCCUCGUCUUCGAUCGCAGCUCCUUAGGCGCUUCUUCGCGGACAAGAACGGCGCAGAUAAACUAUUCGAGGAUGUGAACAACAUCAUUUUGAAAAUGAAACUUAUUGAAUAGUCUAUUGUCUAUGAUGACAUGCUAUUUUCUGUGUGGCCUCAUAACUCCUCUGCUAGAAGAAACUAUUUAUUAUGAAUUCCUGCUUUCAUCUCCUGCCUCCACAAUGAAGUGGUGCAAGGUGUUAUUAUUAGUUUGUCUAUUUUCAGCAUAGGACACUUUUCUGGCGAGGAUUCUUUGCAACUCUUUCUUGUUGGAUAUUUUAUUGGUUCUGCAUAUUGGUGAUUCCUUGCUUAGCCAUCCAUUCUAUGUCUAAUGCAAUGAUAUUAUUAAUCACUAUUGUGUCUUAAUCCAAAGGAUGUAUGUUAAAGCGGUUUUUAUUCCAUGCCAUGUUCACUUUUUUUCUGGUUCCUGAAAGAUUGUCAUAACUUAUGGUGUGAGUCAUGAUGAAUGUCUUGCUCAACAAAGUCAAAGUUGUUUUUCACAGAAUUCAUAUCAAAAUUAGCCACCUUUAGUAAUCCUGCUGUCUUUAUUUUGUAAAGGAUUUACUCUUCUAUUAUCCUAGUUCUUCAACAGGAAGUCAGAAACAUCUUUUUUCCUUUUGCUUUUGAUGUUUUAAAUGAGCUAUAUUUUGCUGAUAAGUAGCUAAAAGGCAACUAGUAAUUCCAAUGAAGAAUCUAACUAUAUGUAUUUCAUAAUUUAAAUGUGCUCUUACUAUCAACUCAAGGAGAACCAAGAUUCUAACUUCACUAAUUGCAUAUGGAGUUUUUUUUUUUCUAGUUAUUGAGGUGCUCUCAAAGCUGCAUCUUUGCCAUUCCUGUCAGAUAGGGUUUUUUACUGAUGUAUGUUCAUUUGAGAGAGGAAUAAUCUUAUCACUAACAAAAGAGAGUAAUCAGUUCAUCGCCAUUCCUAUCAGAUAAAGUUUUACUGAUGUGUGUUCAAUUGAGGGAGGAAUAAUCUUAUCACUAACUAAAGAGAAUGGAACACUGGUUGAGAUUGGAGUUGUUCAUAAGAGUAGGUAUUCUCCAACUAGAUCAAUCCAAGUAUUUCUCCCCUUAUCCUUCAACAUCUGCAAGGACUGGGAGAGUCCUUGGGGGCUUGUUUGUAGUUAUAUCAUUAUCUUUUUCCUUGUUUAAUCAGCUGUUUCCUAGGGAGUCUUGAUUACAGUGAAAAUGAUUCUCUGCCAGACUGCUAAAAAGAAUAGUCCAAAGUGCUUGGCAGAAAGAGAAACCUACUCAUAAAGUGGAGAAGGAAGGAAUCUUUAUGACUUAGAAUAAAGAACAACUAUCAUGGGACAAGGAGAGUUUAGAACAGUCGUGUUACAUUAGAUUAUACAUUGUUAGUGGUGCAAACUGCCCACAGUCUUCUCACAGGAUGACAACCACAGCCCUGCUGGUUUCUGCUUCAUGAUGAUGAAAGCAAGCCAAAUUUGGUAAUACCAAAAAUGUAGUUGGAGUCUAAAUUGAAUCCAUUUUUUGCCCACCAAAUAUGAAAAUUGUUUGACCUCGGAAAAAUUCUUGAAUUCGGAUAUGAUCCAAGUUUGAAAUCUGAUACAAUGUGCUGGCCGACCCUGGAUUUGUUUAGAAUCAUCCCUACUCUACAUCUCACUUGGAUGGAUUCGCGGAAUCUGUACGCAUCCAUCUUGCUUUCAUGUGCCUGAUACUGACUCAGUGCCCACGACAUUGUCACAGGAUGCAGUGACAGCCACUGGCCUACUGACUUGUGGUCCAUUCUGCAUGCUUUCAGCCAAAGCUGCCUUCCCAUCAUUCCAUUUCUUCUUCUUUCUCCGCCUUGAUCAUUCUCUAAUCUCAUCUCUGUCCAUAGCAAAACAAAGAACCUUUUCAUUCUUAUCUGGACAUCAUGACACUUCCAGCAUAUGUUAGUGUCUCAAAACCCUGAUUCCAUGCUUCUAAUGCUCUCUCUCUCUCUCUCUCUCUCCUUCCUUCCCUUGGAUUCUUGAACUGCAAAGAACGUGGCUUUACACCCUGUUCUCGUCUGAUAUCCAACGCAAUCGCUGCUGUCUUUUCGAAGUCCAGGAAUCGUGCGAAUCAUGAUCAUCACAGCAGUACAACAUGGCACGCACCCACCGUUAGAUAGAUAGAUAGAGAGAGAGAGAGAGAGAGAGCUCCAAGGAUGGAACUCUAUUAAAGUAGUGGAAGGGGCUGAACUGAUCCAUCCAUUCAUUCACCUUUUCUGUGAGCAGGCACCAUGGCAGGCUUCGAGGAGCAGGUGAAGGAGCGGGCCAAGGAGCUGAAGCAGCUGAUGAAGAAAGGGAUGAAGGCGGUAGGGGAGACCUGCAAGAAGACCUGGCACAAGGUUCGCCACAUCAGGGGCUGACACCUCACUGCUGCUGCUUCCUCCUAUUCCUUCCUCCAUGUAGAUCUGCAUCUUCUCUUCCGGUUUCCAUUGCUGUCUUGUUCAUAUAGGUUUGCUAUGGCUUGAUGUGUUCCAUUUCUUUUUGGUGCGUGUUCCUUUUUUUUCUUGGAAUCUAGGAGUUUUGAUGUAUGAAGUUGAUGGGUGCUAUGUAGAUCUGCUCUGAGUUGCUAUUAUACUGAGAUAUUCUUUGUUGUGUGA